UACGGAAUGUGCAAACGUUAUUCGGAAUCACUGGGCUUAAAGAGUCCGUAGGCGGCAUGUUAGGUGAGGUGUGAAAUCCCCCGGCUCAACCGAGGAAUUGCGCUUCAAACCGGCGUGCUUGAGGAAGAUAGAGGUGGGCGGAACUGAUGGUGGAGCGGUGAAAUGCGUAGAUAUCAGGAGGAACACCGGUGGCGAAGGCGCACAUCUGGCCCGAUACUGACGCUGAGGCGCGAAAGCUAGGGGAGCAAACGGG
rnacentral:rRNA from 1 species